GGAAGAGCUCAAAUUUGUAAUCUGGCGUCCUCAGGGCGUCCGAGUUGUAAUCUAUAGAGACGUUUUCCGUGCCGGACCGUGUCCAAGUCCCUUGGAACAGGGUAUCAAAGAGGGUGACAAUCCCGUACUUGACACGACGACCGGUGCUCUGUGAUACGUUUUCUACGAGUCGAGUUGUUUGGGAAUGCAGCUCAAAAUGGGUGGUAAAUUCCAUCUAAAGCUAAAUAUAGGCGAGAGACCGAUAGCGAACAAGUACCGUGAGGGAAAGAUGAAAAGCACUUUGGAAAGAGAGUUAAACAGUAUGUGAAAUUGUUGAAAGGGAAACGAUUGAAGUCAGUCAUGUCCAUUGGAUUCAGCUGGUUCUGCCAGUGUAUUUCCUUUGGACGGGUCAACAUCAGUUUGAGCCGGCGGAUAAUGGCAGAGGGAAUGUGGCACCCCCGGGUGUGUUAUAGCCCUUUGCCGCAUACGUCGGCCCAGACUGAGGAAUGCAGCUCGCCUUUAUGGCCGGGGUUCGCCCACGUACGAGCUUAGGAUGUUGGCAUAAUGGCUUUAAACGACCCGUCUUGAACCACG
rnacentral:rRNA from 1 species